CAUGUGGUCUGUGUGAACCAGAAUGCCUCAGUGCAGUGAUGGGGUGACUUGGCCAGCAGGUUAGCCCAUCCUGUGGUCUGUGUGAACCACAAUGCCUCAGUGCAGUGAUGGGGGCACUGGCCAGCAGGUUAGCCCAUCCUGUGGUCUGUGUGAACCACAAUGCCUCAGUGCAGUGAUGGGGGCACUGGCCAGCAGGUUAGCCCAUCCUGUGGUCUGUGUGAACCACAAUGCCUCAGUGCAGUGAUGGGGGCACUGGCCAGCAGGUUAGCCCAUCCUGUGGUCUGUGUGAACCACAAUGCCUCAGUGCAGUGAUGGGGGCACUGGCCAGCAGAUUAGCCCAUCAUGUGGUCUGUGUGAACCACAAUGCCUCAGUGCAGUGAUGGGGGCACUGGCCAGCAGGUUAGCCCAUCCUGUGGUCUGUGUGAACCACAAUGCCUCAGUGCAGUGAUGGGGGCACUGGCCAGCAGGUUAGCCCAUCCUGUGGUCUGUGUGAACCACAAUGCCUCAGUGCAGUGAUGGGGGCACUGGCCAGCAGGUUAGCCCAUCCUGUGGUCUGUGUGAACCACAAUGCCUCAGUGCAGUGAUGGGGGCACUGGCCAGCAGGUUAGCCCAUCCUGUGGUCUGUGUGAACCACAAUGCCUCAGUGCAGUGAUGGGGGCACUGGCCAGCAGGUUAGCCCAUCUUGUGGUCUGUG